rnacentral:rRNA from 1 species
GACGAACGCUGGCGGCGUGCCUAAUACAUGCAAGUAGAACGCUGAAGCUUGGUGCUUGCACCGAGCGGAUGAGUUGCGAACGGGUGAGUAACGCGUAGGUAACCUGCCUGGUAGCGGGGGAUAACUAUUGGAAACGAUAGCUAAUACCGCAUAAGAGUAGAUGUUGCAUGACAUUUGCUUAAAAGGUGCAAUUGCAUCACUACCAGAUGGACCUGCGUUGUAUUAGCUAGUUGGUGGGGUAACGGCUCACCAAGGCAACGAUACAUAGCCGACCUGAGAGGGUGAUCGGCCACACUGGGACUGAGACACGGCCCAGACUCCUACGGGAGGCAGCAGUAGGGAAUCUUCGGCAAUGGACGGAAGUCUGACCGAGCAACGCCGCGUGAGUGAAGAAGGUUUUCGGAUCGUAAAGCUCUGUUGUAAGAGAAGAACGAGUGUGAGAGUGGAAAGUUCACACUGUGACGGUAUCUGAACAGAAAGGGACGGCUAACUACGUG